AUACGAAGGGGGCAAGCGUUGUUCGGAAUAACUGGGCGUAAAGCGCACGUAGGCGGAAUGUUAAGUUAGAGGUGAAAUCCCAGGGCUCAACCCUGGAACUGCCUUUAAUACUGGCAAUCUAGAGACCGAGAGAGGUGAGUGGAAUUCCGAGUGUAGAGGUGAAAUUCGUAGAUAUUCGGAGGAACCCCAGUGGCGAAGGCGGCUCACUGGCUCGGUACUGACGCUGAGGUGCGAAAGCGGGGGGAGCAAACAGGAUUAGAAACCCCAGUAGUCC
rnacentral:rRNA from 1 species